GACGAUACGGGCGAUGAGGCCCGCCUUCCGGGGGCUCCGCCUCCGGAGAACCGCGCCGGCGGCGCUGAUGGCUUCUGCCCCGCA
rfam:Rubrobacter xylanophilus DSM 9941, complete genome.